rnacentral:rRNA from 1 species
AUUGAACGCUGGCGGCAUGCCUUACACAUGCAAGUCGAACGGCAGCACGGGAGCAAUCCUGGUGGCGAGUGGCGAACGGGUGAGUAAUAUAUCGGAACGUGCCCAAUCGUGGGGGAUAACGCAGCGAAAGCUGUGCUAAUACCGCAUACGAUCUACGGAUGAAAGCGGGGGACUCGCAAGGGCCUCGCGCGAAUGGAGCGGCCGAUAUCAGAUUAGCUAGUUGGCGGGGUAAAGGCCCACCAAGGCGACGAUCUGUAGCUGGUCUGAGAGGACGACCAGCCACACUGGAACUGAGACACGGUCCAGACUCCUACGGGAGGCAGCAGUGGGGAAUUUUGGACAAUGGGCGCAAGCCUGAUCCAGCAAUGCCGCGUGCAGGAUGAAGGUCUUAGGAUUGUAAAAUCCUUUCACCGGUGAAGAUAAUGACUGUAGCCGGAGAAGAAGCCCCGGCUAACUUCGUGCCAGCAGCCGCGGUAAAG